rnacentral:rRNA from 1 species
CUACGGGUUGCACCAGUGAGGAAUAUUGCACAAUGGGGGGAACCCUGAUGCAGCAACGCCGCGUGGAGGAUGACGCAUUUCGGUGUGUAAACUCCUUUUAUAUGUCAAGAAAAUGACGGUAGCAUAUGAAUAAGCACCGGCUAACUCCGUGCCAGCAGCCGCGGUAAUACGGAGGGUGCAAGCGUUACUCGGAAUCACUGGGCGGAGAGGACGCGUAGGCGGGUUGGAAAGUCAGGUGUGAAAUCCUACAGCUUAACUGUAGAACUGCACUUGAAACUUCUAAUCUAGAGUAUGGGAGGGGGAGAUGGAAUUAGUGGUGUAGGGGUAAAAUCCGUAGAUAUCACUAGGAAUACCUAAAGCGAAGGCGAUCUCCUGGAACAUUACUGACGCUAAGGCGUGAAAGCGUGGGGAGCAAACAGGAUUAGAUACCCCCGUAGUC